GACGAACGCUGGCGGCGUGCCUAACACAUGCAAGUCGAGCGAGGAAUUCACCUUCGGGUGAUGAACUAGCGGCGGACGGGUGAGUAACACGUGGGCAACCUACCUCAUAGAGGGGAAUAGCCUUCCGAAAGGAAGAUUAAUACCGCAUAAGAUUGCAGUAUCGCAUGAUACAGCAAUUAAAGGAGCAAUCCGCUAUGAGAUGGGCCCGCGGCGCAUUAGCUAGUUGGUGAGGUAACGGCUCACCAAGGCGACGAUGCGUAGCCGACCUGAGAGGGUGAUCGGCCACAUUGGGACUGAGACACGGCCCAGACUCCUACGGGAGGCAG
rnacentral:rRNA from 1 species